rnacentral:rRNA from 1 species
UACAGAGGGGGCAAGCGUUGUUCGGAAUUACUGGGCGUAAAGGGCGCGUAGGCGGCCUGCUAAGUCGAACGUGAAAUCCCUGGGCUCAACCCAGGAACUGCGUCCGAUACUGGUUGGCUUGAAUCCGGGAGAGGGACGUGGAAUUCCAGGUGUAGCGGUGAAGUGCGUAGAUAUCUGGAGGAACACCGGUGGCGAAGGCGACGUCCUGGACCGGUAUUGACGCUGAGGCGCGAAAGCCAGGGGAGCAAACGGG